UACGGAGGAUGCAAGCGUUAUCCGGAAUUAUUGGGCGUAAAGCGUCCGUAGGUGGCUUUACAAGUCAGCUGUUAAAGCGUGGAGCUUAACUCCAUAAAGGCAGUUGAAACCGUGCGGCUAGAGUCCGGAAGAGGAGAGUGGAAUUCCUGGUGUAGCGGUGAAAUGCGCAGAUAUCAGGAAGAACACCCGUGGCGAAGGCGGCUCUCUGGGACGGUACUGACGCUGAGACGCGAAAGCGUGGGGAGCGAACAGG
rnacentral:rRNA from 1 species